rnacentral:rRNA from 1 species
GAUGAACGCUGGCGGCGUGCCUAAUACAUGCAAGUCGAGCGAACGGACGAGAAGCUUGCUCCUCUGAUGUUAGCGGCGGACGGGUGAGUAACACGUGGAUAACCUACCUAUAAGACUGGGAUAACUUCGGGAAACCGUAGCUAAUACCGGAUAAUAUUUUGAACCGCAUGGUUCAAAAGUGAAAGACGGUCUUGCUGUCACUUAUAGAUGGAUCCGCGCUGCAUUAGCUAGUUGGUAAGGUAACGGCUUACCAAGGCAACGAUGCAUAGCCGACCUGAGAGGGUGAUCGGCCACACUGGAACUGAGACACGGUCCAGACUCCUACGGGAGGCAGCAGUAGGGAAUCUUCCGCAAUGGGCGAAAGCCUGACGGAGCAACGCCGCGUGAGUGAUGAAGGUCUUCGGAUCUUAAAACUCUGUUAUUAGGGAAGAACAUAUGUGUAAGUAACUGUGCACAUCUUGACGGUACCUAAUCAGAAAGCCACGGCUAACUACGUG